rnacentral:rRNA from 1 species
UACGAAGGGGGCUAGCGUUGCUCGGAAUCACUGGGCGUAAAGGGUGCGUAGGCGGGUCUUUAAGUCAGGGGGGAAAUCCUGGAGCUCAACUCCAGAACUGCCUUUGAUACUGAAGAUCUUGAGUUCGGGAGAGGUGAGUGGAACUGCGAGUGUAGAGGUGAAAUUCGUAGAUAUUCGCAAGAACACCAGUGGCGAAGGCGGCUCACUGGCCCGAUACUGACGCUGAGGCACGAAAGCGUGGGGAGCAAAUGGG